CAGCCGCCACGGGAAUACGAAGGGUGCAAGCGUUAAUCGGAAUUACUGGGCGUAAAGCGCACGCAGGCGGUCUGACAAGUCAGAUGUGAAAUCCCCGGGCUUAACCUGGGAACUGCAUUUGAAACUGUCAGGCUGGAGUCUUGUAGAGGGGGGUGGAAUUCCAGGUGUAGCGGUGAAAUGCGUAGAGAUCUGGAGGAAUACCGGUGGCGAAGGCGGCCCCUGGACAAAGACUGACGCUCAGGUGCGAAAGCGUGGGGAGCAAACAGGAUUAGAUACCCCUGUAGUCCCUGUCUCUUAUACA
rnacentral:rRNA from 1 species